rnacentral:RNase_P_RNA from 2 species
AGAGUCGGCGCAGGCGGUUACGGACGGGAGUUCCUGUCCGAGGAAAGUCCGGGCUCCCUAAGGACCAGACUUGCUGGGUAACGCCCAGUGCGGGUGACCGUGAGGAGAGUGCCACAGAAACAUACCGCCGAUGGCAAGACAGAGACAGACUGGAGCAAAGAUAGCGGGAAAUUCUGCCGUCUGCCUUCUGUCGUCUGCCUUUCACAGGUAAGGGUGCAAAGGUGCGGUAAGAGCGCACCAGCAGCAUCGAGAGGUGCUGGCUCGGUAAACCCCGGUCGGGAGCAAGGUCGGAGGGGUUAUGGUUGGUUCUUUACCGACCCCGUUGCAGGAACCGCUAGAGGCGUCUGGUAACAGGCGUCCCAGAUAGAUAACCGCCCUUCUGGAUACCCAGAAGAACAGAACCCGGCUUAUGUCCGGCUCUUUCC